AUUGAACGCUGGCGGCAGGCUUAACACAUGCAAGUCGAGCGGGGGAAGGUAACUUGCUACCGGAUCUAGCGGCGGACGGGUGAGUAAUGCUUAGGAAUCUGCCCAUUAGUGGGGGACAACAUCUAGAAAGGGCUGCUAAUACCGCAUACGUCCUACGUGAGAAAGCAGGGGAUCUUCGGACAUUGCGCUAAUAGAUGAGCCUAAGUCGGAUUAGCUAGUUGGUGGGGUAAAGGCCUACCAAGGCGACGAUCUGGAGCGGGUCUGAGAUGAUGAUCCGCCUCACUGUGACUGAGACACGGCCCAGACUCCUACGGGAGGCAGCAGUGGGGAAUAUUGGACAAUGGGGGGAACCCUGAUCCAGCCAUGCCGCGUGUGUGAAGAAGGCCUUAUGGUUGUAAAGCACUUUAAGCGAGGAGGAGGCUACUCUAGUUAAUACCUAGGGAUAGUGGACGUUACUCGCAGAAUAAGCACCGGCUAACUCUGUGCCAGCCGCCGCAGUAA
rnacentral:rRNA from 1 species